AUGGAGAAAACUCCAUCAGUGUGGGUAUGGCACCCUCAGGAUCUAAGCUGUCUAAACUUGCAGGCUGGUUUCACUAGCUUAGGGCAUCCCAGAGCUAAUGUUUAUAAGCCAAGGGCCAAAUUAAAGCAAGAAAGAAUCAUAUCAAUGUCGAGGCUGAGAAAGUUCACGGGGGCAGGAAGGAGGCCCUGGAGAAGGAGGCAAGGAAAGCAAGAGGAAAGGGAUCCAUCUUCUUCUCCCUCCCACUACCAACCCCAACCUGGAGUCCCAGAAACACUAUGCAGAGCCCACCUAGUACCCCUCAAUGUAUGUUCAUCUUCUUUGAUAAUAGAACCUCAAACGUCAGCUGGCUACACGGCUUCAAACAACAAAAGACUACAUUUCCCAGCUUUCCCUGCAGCAAGGACACCUUCUAAGGAAAGGACCAGCACUAUCCUCAUGUUACAGCUGAAGGAACAGAGCCCCUGCAAACGUAACAAGUUUACCCAGUCUUCACAGAUGCAGUCACGAGGUCAGCCUCCCUUGCCUGACACUUUCUCAGUUGUAGCAGAAAAAGUCUCGUACUCCAGGAAAGCCACCAGUACCAGGCAAGCCAGGACAGCUGGUCAUCCUGUCAUACAUAGUUCCAGGCCAAGCCCGAACCAUUCCCAAGCCCCACAUCCCUUCUUUUCCAGCUGGUGAAGUGCCACCACUCUUCGGGCACCCUGGGACACCUCCCCAGGGCGUAAAUAUUACUCAAAGAUUCAGAUGGCAACGUAUGACCUCAGGUAAAUACAACUAUGUUAAGAGGUU
rnacentral:lncRNA from 1 species